CUCAUGGAGCCAGAAGAGGCUGUCGGCGCCGGCGACCUUGUCGUCUUUGUCUUGUGCAAAGGUAUCAGAUGAGGGUAUUUGAAGAAGACACCAUGAAUUGGUAUUCGAAAAAGAUACCACCUUUCAUUACAUUGGUAUUCAAAAAAUAUACCACCUUAUGGCCUUUCCUGUUUCCUGUGACUUAAGACUUCCAACUCUUUAACUGGGAUAGUAUCAAAAGAAAAUGAUUUAUGUAAGUGGGACACAAUAAAGUAAUUUUGUACAACUAUAUUUUUGUGCACUAGAUAAAAUGUUACUUCUGUUUGAAAUAGCACACGAUUUCUCCCUGCUUGAAGUAUGGUUUGUGCUCUCUUCCUCCAUCCCGUGUAUGCGAUUGAUGUCCCCCUCUAAUUGUUUGGUGUUGGAGUCUCUCUGUAUAAUCAGUGCCUCUUUGCUUAAUCUGCUGACGUAUGCUAUUUACAGUUCCUUCCCCGGCUCCUAACUGAUCUUUAGAGUUAAUAUUUAUUAGUAUUUUGUGCUACAACAUAAUUAGUGCCCGGCAAACCCUGUUUACCCUCUUAUGUCACUAUUGUCCAUUGUCAUUCUUUUAUGCAUUAUAACUCAGCUUCAUAUAUCCGCUGCAACAUAAUAUUCUCCUUGGGUUGUUGAAUUGUUUUGCUCCAUACAUCCCAAAAAAACACAGCCUAUUUGCAUUACAUGGUUUUGCUACCUCUUAUGAAAUUGCAUUCACUGUGUUAUGCGGAAAAUUUACUUCGGCCACUCUUUUAAGUGUAUAUUUUCAAUUUCAAGUUUUUCUUUGUAUUACUCUUACGAAAACUCGCUAAGUUUUUUCCUGUGAGCCUGACACAUUGUUUAAUAACUGUUAUAGCUUCAUAAUUGUUAUACCCUUCUGAUCUUCUCCUUUUCUUAUGUCAGCUAACCAGUGAGGAUAUAUAUAAAAAGGAUACCACCAAUAGCAUAGCACCCUGCCGCUGUAAUUACAUGUACCUGUUUCAUAUAAUUAUAGUUGCAACUAAUAAGGUCAUCGAUUUUAACGAGGUCCAUAAGAUAAUAAUGUCUCCAUUGAGAUGUGCAAUGAAAUAUCGAAGGACCCUAUCCUUUUGUUUGUGGAUGCACGAAGUAAUGAUGUCUGGCUAUGGGAGUGUCUCUUCGGAUGUUCUAAGGCAGUUUCCUGUGUCUCUGCUAGCUCCGAUUCUAUUGCGCCCUAUUGUCCGGCAUAUGUUUAUUUAUGUGUUUGACCCACGUGUUUAGUUAAUGUUGUUAUGCUAUCGAAGGACAAGCAGAUGUUGCAGACUGUAUGUGACCCUAUGUACCCUCUUCAGCCUGGACAGUGCUGAGGAUGAAUACAAACUUAUAUGUAAUCGGGUGGUGCUUGCUUUACUUAA